rnacentral:rRNA from 1 species
GAUGAACGCUGGCGGCGUGCUUAACACAUGCAAGUCGAACGGAAAGGCCCAAGCUUGCUUGGGUACUCGAGUGGCGAACGGGUGAGUAACACGUGGGUGAUCUGCCCUGCACUUCGGGAUAAGCCUGGGAAACUGGGUCUAAUACCGGAUAGGACGAUGGUUUGGAUGCCAUUGUGGAAAGUUUUUUCGGUGUGGGAUGAGCUCGCGGCCUAUCAGCUUGUUGGUGGGGUAAUGGCCUACCAAGGCGUCGACGGGUAGCCGGCCUGAGAGGGUGUACGGCCACAUUGGGACUGAGAUACGGCCCAGACUCCUACGGGAGGCAGCAGUGGGGAAUAUUGCACAAUGGGCGCAGGCCUGAUGCAGCGACGCCGCGUGGGGGAUGACGGCCUUCGGGUUGUAAACUCCUUUCGCCAGGGACGAAGCGUUUUUGUGACGGUACCUGGAGAAGAAGCACCGGCUAACUACGUG